GACGAACGCUGGCGGCGUGCCUAAUACAUGCAAGUCGAGCGAAGCGGGGACGGGUGAGUAACACGAGGUUAACCUCCUAUAAGACUGGGAUAACUUCGGGAAACCGGAGCUAAACCGGAGACUUAUAGAUGGAUCCGCGCUGCAUUGGCUAGUUGGUAAGGUAACGGCGUACCAGGGCAACGAGGCAUAGCCGACCGGAGAGGGUGUUCGGCCACACUGGAACUGAGACACGGACCAUACGCCUACGAGAGGGAGCAGAAGGGAAUCGGCCGCAACGGGCGAAAACCUGGCGGAGCAGCGCCGCGUGUGUGAUGAAGGUCUUGGGAGCGUAAAACUCUGUUAUUGGGGGAGCGGUACCUAAUCAGAAAGCCACGGCUAACUACGUGCCAGCAGCCGCGGUAAUAC
rnacentral:rRNA from 1 species